rnacentral:lncRNA from 1 species
GGCCGUUUUUUACAGCUUUUAUCUGUUGACGAUGCAGUGACCAGUGAAACGCUGCUGGCCUUUUGUAUACAGGCUACAGUACUAUCUUUUGCUGUUUUUUUUGCCUGCCUGCCAGCCAUUCUUUACUCCCAUAGGCAGAUAGGCCCAUGCUUUGGAGAGUGGAGACGAGAGCAAAGGCCAAAGGGCAAAGGCGAUGGAACGGCUGGCAAUGGCACAUCAUACUCCCUAUGAUUAGAAAUUAGAAUAGCGUUGGUGUCAGUGCAACGGAGAGGCUGCGACCUGCGAGAUGAGAUCCGUUCGCCUGUGUGUUUUUUUUUUUUACGCGCGCCAGCCCCUCGCGGUCGUGGUGUCCUCUGUCCUGGAUGCUGGAUCUUGCCAACUCGGUGGAGGCCACGCCACGGGGGGGCUAGUGGCCAUGGGCAUCCUUGUGUUGCCCUCGGUUCCUGGUGCU